rnacentral:lncRNA from 1 species
CUGAACCGCUAACAAUUUACUUAACACUCUUUCAGUUUGUUUUUUACUAAUUUCUAAUCUACUAUAAAGAUAACGCAACCCAACAAGAUAACACAAAAUACAACCGAAACAGAAUGAAACAAAAACGGAACAAAAAAUCGUUGUAUCAAUUUUCCUAUUUUCUUGACAUGUGCAUUUGUGGUCUAUUUCUAUCUCUUCCUCAGGGCCGAACAACGUCAAACCUCGAGCCAACCAUUUUUCCCAGUUUGCCUGAGAAAGUUCUAGGGAUAGGCAGCUUGAAACAAAAACAAAACAAGUCAAAACAAGAACACAUUGUUUUUUGAAAUGGUCACCCAUUCUCUCACCUUCCCUUAGGGGCGAGCAAUUUCACUUACCCCCGAGCUUCAGGCGUUCCCUGCACGGGCCGCCAAAUGCCACAGUCUGGCUGGGUACAAAUCACGAGCCACUGAAGCAGGAACAAACUUUAUUUUUGAACUCCACCAAAACACUUCACACACGCUCAUGGGGAAUUCUCCCGAAUGCCAUGCGGCUCGUCCAGGAACCCACAGCCAGAAAAUCUCCUCCGGAAAUCCCUCCUCCUGCACUUCCCCAACCAAUGGGAACUCUCUGGGAAUCCCCAUGAGAACUCCAAAGUAGCGUGAGAACUCCAAAGUAGUGGCCAAGGCGGAUAGUAAUGCCUCACCUGUCAACCAAUACUAUUGGCAAAAUGCCAGGGGCCAUUCUGACUUCGGCUGUGGCUCUCAGCAGGUAAUAUCUUCAGAGAAUAAGUCUUAAAAACUAGACAGUUAAUAAAAUAAAAUCAAGCCUAGAUCCUCAAAGUCUGAUAACAGUUGAAGGGACUGAGUAGCUGUUUAAACUUAGACAAACCUCUCCCACACUCAUUUUUCUCAGGGUAAAAUAUCAGCUCACUCUAUUUGUUCUGAGGUUUGGCUAGAGCGAAAGGAAAAUAGAUAGAUAGAUAGAUAGAUAGAUAGAUAGAUAGAUAGAUAGAUAGAUAGAUAAAACAACUACUACUCAAGAGCCUACAGUGAAAUGUCCAUUCAGUUACUUGGUAUCAUUAUUAGCACCAAUGAAAAAGAGUGGCUGGACUUCACACUCUAUUUUCUGUAACAUAACACUUUCACUUUGCCAGUCUUGCCAUUUGAAGCCUGAUGUGUUAAGGAGCCCAUGGGCUUACUUACAUCAUUUAGGUGAAAGACAUGGCUGCAAUAUUCAGAAUCCAUAUCAAACUAAGGUGGUAAGAUGUGCUUGUUCACUGUGCUAAUGAACACAUUCUCUGGGGGACAGAUGGUGCAAUGAAAAUUAUGCGCACAAAGAUCAAUACAGAAAGUUGUUCAUCAAAACAUUGCUUAUAAUAUCAAAUAUCGGCAAACCCUAAAUAUCCAAUAUGAAGUUAGAACCCUUCAUAUGAUGUUCUUGAUAAAAAAAAAAACAGCAAUAAAUCUUUUAAAUUCUCUAUGGAGUAGGACAUUGUUCAUGCUGAAUAAAUAGA